rnacentral:tRNA from 2 species
AAUAAGAUGCCUGAUUAAAGGGCUAUUUUGAUAGAAUAGAUCAAGUAAUAUAAUUACUCUUAUUA